rnacentral:rRNA from 1 species
GACAGAGGGUGCAAACGUUGUUCGGAAUUACUGGGCGUAAAGCGCGUGUAGGCUGUUCUGCAAGUCGGGUGUGAAAGCCCCGGGCUCAACCUGGGAAGUGCACUCGAAACUGCAGAACUCGAGUCCUGGAGAGGAAGGCGGAAUUCUCGGUGUAGAGGUGAAAUUCGUAGAUAUCGAGAGGAACACCGGUGGCGAAGGCGGCCUUCUGGACAGUGACUGACGCUGAGACGCGAAAGCUAGGGGAGCAAACAGG